GACGGAGGAUGCAAGCGUUAUCCGGAAUGAUUGGGCGUAAAGCGUCCGCAGGUGGCCGUUCAAGUCUGCUGUCAAAGACCGGGGCUUAACUUCGGAAAGGCAGUGGAAACUGAACAGCUAGAGUAUGGUAGGGGCAGAGGGAAUUCCUGGUGUAGCGGUGAAAUGCGUGGAGAUCAGGAAGAACAUCGGUGGCGAAGGCGCUCUGCUGGACCAUAACUGACACUCAGGGACGAAAGCUAGGGGAGCGAAUGGG
rnacentral:rRNA from 1 species